UGAUGUUAUUCCUACAUUUCUACAGGUAUGGGAUCAGAUUCACCAAGCAGGUUAUUAUGUUGAUGUUGAUACAAUAGACAGGAGGAUCCAAAAGAAGAUAAAUCAGACAUCAACUGGCAGUAACUGGAAAAAAGUUUACAGAUGCUGGAAUUUGCAUUCGAAUGCUGGGAAUUGUGAUCAGAAUGCUAAUUUUUUUAUAGUUCUGGAAAACUAUUUUCUUACAAAGGUAUUUAUAUUGGAAAUAGUCUAAGACUCCUAACAAAUUAAAUACAAUAGAAAAAAUAGCAAUUGAAGUAAAUAGAUGUUCAAUAUCACUUUAUGAGGAAUCAUCACAAACAACUAGUUGCAUGUGAAGUUCACAUGCAAGCUUGCUCAUACGCCAAAGUGUCAUGUGUAGGACAUCCGAGUGAUGCAUAAGGUGGGAUUCACUAUGACAAUCACCUGUUGCAAAAAAUAGGUGGCCUUCAUCUUAUGCAUAACUUGAUGUGUCAUACACAUGACGUGAACGGGGUUUCAUCUAAAGUUCACAUGCAACUGGUUGUAGG